rnacentral:rRNA from 1 species
GAGUCAUUGGGACUCAAUUAAACCUAAAGGCGCAAUGAAAGUAAAGGUCCGCCUCGCGCGGACCUAGGGAGGAUGCGCCCGACCGCGGUCGGGCACCGCACUCCCGGGGCGUCUCGUUCUCAUAGCGAGAAGAGGCGCACCCAGAGCGUACACGCUGGGACCCGAAAGAUGGUGAACUAUGCCUGGUCAGGACGAAGUCAGGGGAAACCCUGAUGGAGGUCCGUAGCGAUUCUGACGUGCAAAUCGAUCGUCGGAACUGGGUAUAGGGGCGAAAGACUAAUCGAACCUUCUAGUAGCUGGUUCCCUCCGAAGUUUCCCUCAGGAUAGCUGGCGCUCGCCUUGCGAGUCUCAUUCGGUAAAGCGAAUGAUUAGAGGCAUUGGGGUCGAAACGGCCUCAACCUAUUCUCAAACUUUAAAUGGGUGAGAUCUCCGGCUUGCUUGAACGGUGAAGCCGCGAGAGAUCAUCGGAUCACAGAGUGCCAAGUGGGCCACUUUUGGUAAGCAGAACUGGCGCUGUGGGAUGAACCAAACGCCGAGUUAAAGCGCCUAAAUCGACGCUUAUGGGAUACCAUGAAAGGCGUUGGUAACUUA